GUGUCUAUAGAGUAUCUUAUCGAGGUGCCUGUGAUGAUAUAUUAGCUCUUCAUACUUGGAUUAAAAAAGGCAUCUCUACAAAGACCCUACAGACGUCUAUAAAUGGACCUCUACCCUACACAGUUUAUGUGACCUUUGUCUUUGUGCUAAGAAUCAGAAAGGCAUUUUAAAGCAGAUUACAUGUAAUUAUUAUUGUGUGUCUACAGGGUAUUCAUCGAGGUGCCUAUAG